UACAGAGGUCUCAAGCGUUGUUCGGAUUCAUUGGGCGUAAAGGGUGUGUAGGUGGCGCGGUAAGUCGGGUGUGAAAUCUUGGAGCUUAACUCCGAAACUGCAUUCGAUACUGCCGUGCUUGAGGACUGGAGAGGAGACUGGAAUUCAUGGUGUAGCAGUGAAAUGCGUAGAGAUCAUGAGGAAGACCAGUGGCGAAGGCGGGUCUCUGGACAGUUCCUGACACUGAGACACGAAGGCCAGGGGAGCAAACGGG
rnacentral:rRNA from 1 species